GUUGAUAUGUUAGUCGGAGCAGCGUUGGGAUCCGUCGGGUGGAUGCUCACUUUCUUGAAUUCUCUCGCCGACUGAAAAGCAGACUCAGAAGCAGGUUUCUUUGAACACAUUAGGUCGACAGGAUCUGUGGUCUUCUUGUACUCGUCGAGCUCCACCAUUGCCAUCUGCUGAUCGGCGAUUUUGGAGCCCUGCUGCAGGCACUCUUCUGCU
rnacentral:lncRNA from 1 species